rnacentral:tRNA from 1 species
GGGUGCGUAGCUCAGGGAUAGAGCAAUAGGCUUUUAACCUAAUGGUCGCAGGUUUGAAUCCUGCCGCGCUCA